rnacentral:lncRNA from 1 species
CAGGUAAGUUUUGCAUUACAACAUUCUGGGGAAAUACUAUGUUAAAACAAUUGAAAUGCUAGCAGCCUUCACACAUGUAAGGUUGUUUUCCCAAUGAUGUGGAAGGAUUUGCCCCACAAUGUCAGUUAUUAGUCACAGCAAAUUAUCUCGUUUCUGUGUUUCUGGGAACAUCCCCUCCAUUCUGAACUGCUUCUCCUCCAUUUUAUACUGUUACAUUCUCCCUGUUUCCAGCAUUUGGAGUGAUCUAGCUACCAUGAAAAUGUCACUGUAAGCCUCUCUUUAGAGUGUGAAAGACCAACCUUUUUAAUUUUUUUAGAAAUUUUUCCUAAUAAGAUCUGUGCCUCAUUCUGUAUCUUUAUGCCUUUCCCUUACGUCCACUGUCCUCUGGCAUUAGUCCUCACCAAUUCUUCAUUAAGACAAAUACUGACCUACAGCAUUUCAUGUUCUUACUAUCUCCUGCUCUCUGGAUAGUCACCUCUCACCUGUCUCUGUGAGAGGUGAGUAGCCAGAAAAAACACCAUUCCUGGCACCUUUUCCCUGCCGUCUUAGGUCCCAGUGCACUUCAGCUUGUUACAUUGGCUGUCAGACACAUAGGUUCUCCUUUGCCCUUCCCACAGAAGUCCCGUGGGUAGAGUCUAAUCUGUAUCAGUUUCUACCACAUUUCAUCAGGCACAACUUAGGUCCCUUGAAAGGCACUGUCAUGAUCCGUGUGUGUGUGUGUGUGUGUGUGUGUGUAUUGUUUAGAGAAACUGAACCAAAGAAACUACUGUGGCACUCUUGCCCAAGAAUGGCUACAGCCUCAGCACUUCCAUCACCCACUGAGAGAACAGCAUGCUUUUUAAGCACCAGUGCAUAGUGCAGUCUUUUUGACAGAUCAGUUUAGGCAGCAUUUUUGAUCUCAGGUUUCUCCUUAACAGGACACACCAUGGCACAACUUAGAAUGUAACUUUUUCUCCUCUCCCUCCCUUGGUCAGAGGCAGACCUGCUUUGGUGUUUAAAUGCAGAUUGUGGGCUUUCUUUGUUCAUGAUACAGAUUUCUGGAUCCCUAAGACCUUCUGAGUAUCCGGAAUUUCUAGGGAUUUGAAUAAAUUCCCUCUUUCACUCACUUUUCUAAGAAGCUCUUCACCCACUUUUUUCAUCUCUAUGUGAUGGUGCAGCUUAGAAUGCAGCUUACUCUAUGCCAACGUUUUCCCAGAAUCAGCCCUUCUUUCCAUGUAGAUUUUGAAGUUUGUUUCUGAGCAAAUUUCAUUGAUCAUGAGUAGAUGAAUAUUGGCAAUAUCGUGUGCAUUGAACCCGGUAUCCUGUCAUGCCUCUACAAGGAGUGGGUUGAUGAUUUGAAUAAGAAAAAUACUCCCUGAAGAACUCAGUGUUUGUUGGGUGCAAAGGGGUACAUCUUUAUUCACAGCUUCUUGGAAGACCAAGGCUGAAGAAUGGCUGUGUUUAUUCCAGUCAGAGGACUCCGAAUGCCAAUUAAAACAGCCAUGGGAUAGAAAUAAGGGGUAGAGAAUUUGACAAGAAUGCACAAGUCCCUGGGUCCACUCCCAAGGUGCAUACACAAAGAAAAAUAAAAAAGAAAAACUGGAAAGAUGAAACCAGUAAUUAUUCACCUAACAUUAAACUUAAUUGGAAAGCAUAUUUGGGAAUAUUAAGUUGUAUUGGUGUUACAAUUACUUCUUUGUAUUUGGAUUGACAUACCCUCUUUCUAACUCAGUUCUAAGGAAUGUGAGUAAAUGUAUUCAUUUGUCAGCAGAGACUCAUUUUGACAUGACUUCAGAGGAAGAGCACAAAAGUUUUGAUGAUGCUCAACAUACCCAGCCUCAGGUAUGUCAACAUGUAAAGCAUUUCUUCCUGGUUUCCCUUGUUUUUUCUUGCUUGAAGAAAGUAAAGAAAGCCAAAUUAAAAUACAUUUUAAAUAGUCUUUUAGAGUUCAGGCAUUAUAAUGUACUACUCACGUCUACACUCCACUGGUUUGAGUCUGAAAAUAGCAUUAGAAAUCAUGUCAACUAAAAUUUAUUUUGUCAUGGAGGCAAAAUGAUUCUAAAUGUCACUUGUGCUUCCACCUGGAUAAACUUAAAAUAAAAAGUUGAGACUAAAUUUGAGAAUAAAGAAUAACCACCUGGAUUAUGAAUGGUAUAAGUGUAAUGUCCAUUGAAUACAUUCAUGUGACGUGAUUGUUGCCAAAGGGCUCAAAAUUCUGAUGAAAAUCACUAGUUAUCCACUCCAAGUUGAACGAUUUUUUUUUCUGUGGUGACCUUUUCAUUUUGUUUCUCAUCCUUGCAGAAAAAUCAGUCAAUAUGUUGAAUAUUUUUUAUCAAAAUCUCUUUAGUUUGUUAAAGAAAUGUAUUUGGGUACAAUAAUGGGGGUAUGAUUGAAUUUGGAGAUGCCAUCUCACCUUGUUUUCUCAUGAUACCAGCAUUCCCAGGGCAAGGUUUAGGUAGCAUACAUCUAGAUGUAUUUCACUUGGCUGGCAUGUGUAACACCUUGGAUGUGCAGCUUUCCCUUUGGGUUGUGUCCUGGGCAGGGGCCCUAUUCUAGUGUCAGAUCCCCAACAGAACACCCAAGCCUCAUAUUUUAAAACUAAAACUUUGUCAGUCAAGAUUUAAAAUGUGUAAUCCCAUUUAGUAUGAAGCAUAUUCUUCAAAACUCUUUUAAAUAAAACUUGAAAACCUUCUCACAUUUGAUGAAGAUUGUGAAGUUGGGUGAGUUACAAUGAAUAUCAUUCCUCCUGUGCUUUGGAGUGUAUACACAUUUGUUAGCAUGUUGUCAGGGAAUGCCUUUUUUGUGACAUCCAUCCUGCUUUUGCCAAGUCAGGAACCAUAGGAAGAUAAAGAGUUCAGCUUCAUCUGAAGUACAAAUGCUAGCUUCUCCUGUGGAAAGUAGGACUGUUUAGUCUGUACUUGUCUACAUUUUAGUUAGCUGCUUUUAAGAUCAUUAUUUGGGUGAUGUCUGAAAGAGUGCUCAUGAAGUCUUCAUGCAGCUCAUUGGGUGAUUUAUUGUGCAGAUAUUCUCUGAAGGUGGUCUAUAGAUGUGCAUUUCUCACUCAUCUACAGAGAAAUAUCAUACAGCAAAAGAGAAAGCAGACAGAUAAUGCUCAUGGUAAGAACUACGUACUGUUCUUUGGACAGAAUAUUGAUUUCUAACAUGAUCACUGGUAUAUUCUAAUACUUGGGAAAAUGAACCUAGUAAACAUUUAGUAAUUGAAAAGAAAGAUAAUGAGUUGUCUUCUUUAAGACCAAAAGUCCAGUUGCAGGUUAUAGUGGGAGUGUCCCUCUUAGUUUCUAUACAAGACAUGCGUACAUGACAAGGGAGUUGGCAAUGAUGAAGUGGAGAGGAGAAAAAGGAAUAAACAUUGAGAAAGGAAGAGAGAGUGAGUACAGUAAGUAAAUGAAGGAAAAAGAAGCUGUGAAGGCAGAGAAAUUUCAGUAAUGUACCAGAAGGAAAAGUCCAGUGUAUUGAAAAUAUGGAAGGAAUAUGUGUGUUUCCCUUAUGAACAUGACUGAAGGUAUGAGUGAAUUUUGUGUGUUUUGGUUUUGUGUUUUUUCAGGUAGGAACUGAAUCAGUACCUAUUACUUUAUCUGGGAUAGACACAGAUUGCAUAAGAUUCUCACUACAAAAUAUUUUGUUGGAAAGAAUACUGUUCUUUACCCUCUACCUUCUUUCUAUUGAUUUCUCAGUUUAUUCUCAUCUUCCUCAGGGAAUCCUUUCUGUAGAUCAGUUUCCUUUAUUACAUCACAAAACUCUUUUUUAAUAUCAUCUUUCUGAGUUUAUGUUUGUCUUCUCCAAUAGACUUUAAGCUAAAGAAUAGAAAGAGGUCGCAUCUACUUUAUCUGCAGAGUACAGCAGAAUGUGUCACAUGUUGUAGGCACUCAUUGGUUUACUGCAUGAAUAAUGCAUGUGAAAUAUACAGCAUUAAUAUAUGUAAUUACUCACAUAUUUUGUUUCUUCUUUCCUUUCUUUCUGACAGAGUCUAUUAGCCUGUCGAAAUCCCAGAAAGCAAUUCUAUCACGUCAAAGAAUAAUAAAACUUAAAAAAAGUCACUGCUCACAAUGUUCACUACAUGUUAAAAAAAAAUCACACCUGGAAAAUGAGAUGCAGGAGCUAAAAAAGAGGGUAUCAAAGUUUAAGCACGAAAAUGCAGAAUUGAAACAACAACUCCACAAUUUGAGGUAUUAUAUCCUAGAUUGAAAGAAGGGGUGGAACCCUUUCCUUUAUUACAGUCAAAAUAGAAGGAUAAUUUUUUUAACUGCAGACCUGUUAGCAUUUUCAAGGGAGAAUACUUGAAUAAAAUAUAAAAUUCUUACAAAUAAGAUAACAUAUUAUUAAAUGUGAUUAUUCUAAAAAUUAAAUGAAUAUUUUUCCCUGACACAAUUUUAAUGGCUACAUGAAACCCCAUCUGCUAGAAAUCUGUUUGUUUUACAAACAAAAUUUGGGGUUGCUAUUUGUUUAUAUUUUAAGUUAUUUUAUUAAAAUUAACAUUUCAAGAAAUAUCAUUUAGAAAAAAAAUGAUUUUCCCCUCAGAUGCUAUGGCAUGUGCCUAUAAUUCCAGCAGCUAGGGAGACAGAGGCAGGAGGACCAAAAGUUCAAAGCAAGACUAGCAACUUAUCAAGGUCCUAAGCAAAUUAGUGAGACCCUGUCUCAAAAUUAAAAAGAAAGAAAAGAAAAAGGCCUUGGGAUGUAGCUUAGUUGUUUAGCUCUUGUGAGUUCAAUCUCUGGUACCAAAGGUGGGAGUGAGAAGAAGAGAAAAGGAAAGAAAAAAAUUAUUUUCUAUAUAUUUCUUUACUUUUAAAAAAUAUUUCAAUAUAGAGUUAUUUGGUUAAAAUAGGGGAACUUUAAAAAAGAUAUUUGAUCAGAGUUUCUAAAUUGCUCUCAGGAAAGUGUGUAUUCCACCAAUGCAUCAUUUUUUACUGUCCUGAAACAUGUUUUUAUACAUUUAUACUUUUUCUUCUAAUGCUUGGGAUCAACCCCAGGGUUUUGUGUGACUAGUAUAAUGUGCUAGUGCUCAGCCAGACCCUCAGCUACACUUUUAUCAUUAAUAUUCAUUUAAAAAUGAAAUGGAAACUGAUUAUUUGUUAUUUUAUUCAAAUUUACUCUCAUUCAUAAAUCAAAUUUUUUCAGAAUUCUAUAUUUAAAAACAAACUUUUUUACUCUUUUUAGGUUUAUAUGACAAUAGAGUAUAUAUUGAUAUAAAGUUAUUCUUGUUAUGGCUAAUAUUCCACUGUGCAUAUAUCAUAUUUCCUUUAUCCAUUCAUCUGUUGAAAAGCAUUACUAUUUAUUAUUGGAUUAAAUAUUAGAUACUCUCUUGUUCCAAAGUGGAUUUUAAUUUGUUUGUAAAAUACAUAAUGAUCAACAAGGGAAGUUGAAAGUGUUACCAUAAAAGAAACAUAAUAACAGGUAUUAUAUUUCUUAUCCCAGUUUGGGGUUAUAGUAACACAAGAUAUAUAUGUUGAAAGAAGAAUUCUGAAUAUGCUGUUACAUUGUAAGUCAAUUCUAGGUGUACCUUACAUACUUUAUGAAGAUAAAUCAUAUUACUACUUAAUUCAUAAAUUUGUAUAUAAACAAUAAGUCUUUAAAACUUAUUUGACUUGAAAUUAUCUUUUUAACUGGGGAGGAUCUAUGAUAGUGCAAAAAAAGAUAACUUUGAACUUGUCAAUUUACCAAAUUAUUUCAAAAUUCUUUUUUUGUGGUAUCUAAAAGAUUAGCUAGUAAUAGAAACUUACCAAAUAACAAAUAGUUUUUUUUUAUUAUUGCCUUUCAAUUAUGUAUGUUUUUUGGGAAGAAUAAAGGAGAUAUUAAAAAUGUGUGACUAGAAAGGAAAAGCUUCAGAGAACAUAAGGUUUUUAUUGGGAUACUAAAUCAGCAUACAGAGAGCCAGAACAUAAAAGACUUUUUGUUUUCUAGCAAAAAUCAAUUGAAAGAUAACCAUAUUUAACUUUAGAUGUACCUUAAAAGAAAAAGAGGCUAAGAGAAAAAAUGAUGAUAUAUUAUAUGAAAAAAUUAAGGACCCAUUAAAAGAAAAAGAAACUGAAUAUAACAAAGAAAAUAAAGUGAGAAAGCAACCUGAAAUCUCUGUUUGCACAAUACAUACAGAAUUGGAGACUGCAAGAAAUAAGUUUAAUUAGGUAAAUAAGCCUUCGGUAAAGUUUCAAUUUUUACUUUAUUUCUUUGGCAUUAUUUAUAAAAUCCUUUUAACUUACUGUAUACAGCCAUGUUUCAGUUAAUGAUGGUAAUGUGGUCUGAGGAAUGUGCUGUUUGGCAAUUUUACCUAUAUGCAGUCAUCAUGUGUGUGCACUUCCACACACUUCAGACAUCUCCCACAAUGCCAGGAAAUGCAGACUUCCAGGACCUCCGUUUAUAUGCAGUCUGCUGUCUCCCAAAGCAUUGGUAUGUGGAGUGUGAACUAUUAUUUGUGUUUAAAAUACAAUGUUAUCUUACUCUAAAAUUAAAUGAUGACAUCUAUGGCAAAACUAGUUACUAGAAAUCUUAGCACCUGGUAUCUACAUCUGUUUAGUAUUUGUUUCCUUAAUGAAGAAGUCGAAUUUGAUCACUGAUAUAAGUACAAAUUUAAGGCUUUUUUAUGUUCACAUACAGACUAAAUAGUUAUGAAACUAGUUAAGACAUUUUUUAAAAGUUUUUUACAAUCACAUUUCUACCUGUAUUUAAGAAAUAUUGUCACUCAGCCAAAUUUAUCUGUCAUUUUUGCUGUUGAAAUGUAAGACAUUUACUUAUAAAGAAUAAAUCUACUCUUUAAUUUUUUUAAGGUACCACUCUUAAAUUAACCUUUUAGAGUUCCUACCAUCUGCUGAUAUGUGACCAAAACCUUGCUGAAAUAAAUUUGUAGAUUUUAGCAGAGCAAAAUGAAACCCACAAUUUCUGUGAGAACAGAAUGCCAGAAUUUACAAUAUGGAACUUCAGUAAAAUGUCUUUGCAAACAAAAAGAGAUAGACAUGUGCAAAAGAAAUAGUUUCCUCUGUUUUCAAAUGAGUGAGUGAGAGAGAGAGAGAGUGUGUGUGUGUGUGUAACAUUUUAUAGAAGGUUUUAAAUCCAUAUAUUUAUAACCAUACUAUACAUAGUUUGGGGGUGAUGCUGGAAUGUUUUGUCUUAUUGAAUUAAGUAAUGUUCUUAAUUCAACUCUAUUUUAAUCUGCAGCAGUCCCAUGAUGACUUUCAGAGUAGCCUCAUCAAGAGAAAAGACUUCUAAUAUUUUCCAUAAGAAUAGAUGAUUUUUCUAUUAUCCUAAAACCCUUGCUUCUAAUAGUAGAUCUUCUAGUUUAGUUUGGGGAAGUGACUUCACUCCCUUGUGUUCAUGUGUGUUAUUCCUCCCACUGUUAAGUAAGGAGGAAAAGUGUUGCCAGCAAAGACCCUGGUUUUGAAUAUUAUUUUCUCACUUUUGAGAAGAGAAACAAACAAGUAAUCUCCUAUUUCAGUAUAAAACACCUUUGGAAACAAUGGCAUACUAUAAUAUGUUCUCAGAAAUAAGUUACUAGUAAGUAUUUAUUCCUAAUCAAUAAGCUCAGUUUAUUUCCCCUAUUAUAUAUUUACUCAUGUUUCAGACUUCACUGAGAUAAAACAAAUGCCACUGAGUAGCAAUCUCAGGAUUUUCUGAGUAUAGCCUUGCACAUUUUGCCUUAUUUACCAUUCAUAUUGUGAAAUGAAAGCCUUCUUUGAUGUUUAUCCAUUCACAGGACAGAAAUAACCGGCUUGGUGGAUGAGCACUAGAAGCACAGGCAAAAGACUUGGAGAAAAUCUUGCAACUUGCCUGUUUUUAGCCUUGCACUCUUUUUCAGAAUAGUGAUACAUUGUUCAUUGAUAUCCAUACAUGUGGUUAGUGCCAUUCCUAGAUAUAUCAUUUAUCAAUAGAUGCAAUUCUCAUACCUAGAUACAGAAUGGUAGAAAAAAGCAUAUGUGAAGAAUAUAUUCAGUAAAAGACCACAUUCCUCUUCCCUAACCUCCCUCCUCUUUGCCCAAACAAAUUUCCCCCAUUUUUCCAAUGUCUCUUCUCUCCUCACUAUGGAUCUACAUCCACAUAUCAGAGAGAACAUUUGGCCUUUGGUUUGGGGGCAUUGGCUUACUUCACUUAGCAUGAUAUUCUUCAACUACAUCCAUUUUUCUGCAAAUGCCAUAAUUUUAUUCUCUUUUAAUGCUGAGUAAUAUUCCAUUGUAUAUAUAUACCACAGUUUCUUUGUCCAUUCAUCUAUUGAAGAACAUCUAGAUUGCUUCCACAGUUUAGCUAUUGUGAAUUGAGCAGCUAUGAACAUUGAUGUAGCUGAAUUACUAUAGUAUACUUAUUUUAAAUCCUUUGUAUAUAAACUAAGGAGUGGGAGAGCUGAGUCAAAUGAUGGUUCCAUUCCAAGUUUUCUAAGAAAUAUCUAUAUUGCUUUAAAGUAUAGAUAAAAGAAUAGAUAAAAUUGGUUGCAUCAAUUUUCAGUCUCACCAGCAAUGUAUGAGUGUGCCUUUUCCCCUAUAUUCUUACCAAUAUUUAUUGUUUUCUGCGUUUUUGAUAACUGUCAUUCUGGGUAGUUUUUAUUUACAUUUCUCUAAUGUGAUUCCAAUUAAAAUUUCAAUGUCAUUCUUUAUAGAAGUAGAAAAAGAAAUCAUGAAAUUUGUUUGGAAAAAAUAAGAGACAGAGAAUAGCCAAAACAAUUUUUAGUAUGAAGAAUUAAGCAGGAGGCAUCACAGUACCAGAACUAUACUACAAAGCAAUACUAACAAAAUGGCAUGGUAUUGGCACCAAAAUAGACAUGUAGACCUAUAGUACAGAAUAGAAUUCAGAGACAAACUCUCAUAAAUAGUUAUCUCAUACUAGACAAAGGCGCCAAAAACAUACAUUCGACUAUUUCUCUUAAAUAGUUUUCAUUGCCAACUUGUUCUUGAAGCAAAUGGCAGAAUGCAGAAUGUCUAAUUUCUUACUACUAAGCAAUUCAUUUAAAAAAUAUACCUAAGUAUUUUAUCUCUCACCCUUAUUUCCACCUUCAUGUCCUGGUGAAAGAUAUCAGUAGAGGUUCAUUUGCAAUAUGUUAUGCCCGCUUUCUGAUUGAUAGCACAUAAGGAUUUUUUAAGCCUUUAAGUCAAAAAAGAUAUAUAUUCCAAAAUAUGAACAGUUCAUUUUAUAACCAGUCUUUAACCAGCUCUGAUGUAGGUGUAAAAUACGUUAGCCUGUUUUAUGGCUUGGAUAUGACAUGUGCCUCAUAUCUCUUAUGUUAAUGCUGGGAUAUUCAGAGAUGAAAUGAUUCCAUUGUGAUAGGUGUAACUUGAUCAGUCCACCCCAGUUUGAAUGCACUCAUGGGGGGAACAGUAGGCAGAUGUGGUGUGGUUGGGGGAGGCAGGUCACUGGGAAAUGUGCAUUAGAAGGAGGCAUCUUCCCUGUGGCCUCUUCUGGCCUUCCAAGUCUCUCUGCUUCCUGACUGUCUUCAAGGGAGCAGAUUCCCUCACUAUGCCAUCUCCCCAUGAUUCUCUGUGUCACCAUGGGCCCAGAGUAAUGCAGUUACUCAUCUAUGAACUGAGACCUCUGGUACCAUGAACCCAGAUAAUCUUUACCUCCUCUAGAUGGUUGUUAUUCUGUGUCUUGAUCACAGCAAUAAAAAUCUGGGGGAAAAAAGCAGCCUGCAUAUGAUUUGAGACACUUUGUCCUUUAUAGAUCAUGAGGUUCUACAUGACAUCCCUCUAAGGACUAGGCCUCUGGCUAUUCUCUAGUGAGAAAUGAGGAUAAGCAAUUACUGUUUAAACUUUAAAACCAUAUUGGUAUCACUUAGUACUAGAACAACAUUCUGCUGAAGUUCUCAAGACUUGACUUUUCCUGUGUUCCUUUUUCUGGUUUCCCAGCUUGCAAAAAGAUGUGUGUGUGUGUGUGUGUGUGUGUGUGUACACACCCACAAAAAAAAGAAAAUAAAAUGUCAACAUUCAUUUAAAAAAUUGAAAUCCAAAAUAUACCUUUAUAUUUUAAAUUUGCAUGUGGAUAGAUAUAGAAAUAUACAUGAGUGUGUUUGUACAUAUAUAUCACUUGAAUUACUUUUACUAUGCAUCAAACAAUAAUUCUCAGAGAUUGUAUAAAACAAAUAGAAAUUGUAGAUUUAAACACAAAUUUCAACAAUGGCAAAUGAUUCUGCUUUCUGUUAUAUUGUCUUUCUAAUCUUAUUGAUUAAGUUGUUAAAUUAUGNUUUUAUGAUUCUGUGUUAGUUAUGUCUCUUGAAGAAAAUAUCAGUGUUUGUAUUUUCAAAAAUGUUUUGCCUUUGGCAAAUGAGUGUUGUCUUACAUGUUGCAUAUGAUAUUGGAUGUAAUGGAAAACAUUGUUAAACAAAUAUUUUCAUUAUGACUCCUGUUCUAUUUAAUUUUCUAUAGUUGAUUUCUGUUGUUAUUUCCAAGAUGAUACAUUUUAUCUUUUCAAAAAAAAAAUGAUCAGAACAUGCACUCAUUUAAAGCCUUCACUAUCCACCUUGACAUUAUAUGAAAUGGGAUAGUAAUAUUUUGCUGUAACUAAUUUUUAAUAACUGGUAUGUAUUUUAAGGGGUUUUAUUUACAAGUUAGCAUGCAAUGCUCAGUGAAAUUUUACAAACCAGGCACCCACCACUGCAUGCAAUUCCUGCAUAGAAAAAUAAUAUCUUUAGCCUGAAAUGCUUUAUUGUCUCUCUCAAAACAGCCCCAAGACUAUUGUUAAUUGUGCUGCUGUAAACAUGCCAAUCCCAAAAAUUAAAACCACAAAUGUUUUCUCUGAUAACUGGAUGCUAGUUCAUAAUAGGGGGGCAGCAUGAGAUGAGUGGAAGAUUUUUAGUUUGGGAAAAGGGGAGGGAGGGGAGGAGACAGGGCAUGGAGAUAGGAAAAAUGGUGGAAUGAGAUGAACAUUAUUAUCCUAGGUAUGGGUAUGAUUGCACAAAUAGUUUGAUCUAUUGUGUGUACAAUCAGAGAAGUGAAAAAUUGUACUUCACUUGUGUACUAUGAAUCAAAAAACAUUCUGUGGUCAUGUAUAACUGAUUAGAAUAAGUAAAUUAAAAGAAAUUUUUAAAAAUCCUCAAGAUUGACAAGUAUGUGAAAGCUAACAGCAUAGAUCACUUUCACCUCUCUCAAACUUUAUAACAAAUGAGAGUUCAGCAUCAACAGUUUUAUAUUUGAUAUUAAAAAUUCCAUGUUCUUUUUAAAUUAGCAUUUUUCCAAAUUACCAGUGGUGAAAUUCAACUGUAGGAAUAUCAAAUAUUUAAGCUUCUUUUUUUGUGUGUGUGCCUAGGAUUGAACCCAGGACCUUGUGCAUUCACUGGAAGCACUCUACCAACUUAGCUAUAUUCCCAGCCCCUAAUUAAGCAUUCUUUAAAAAAAAUUGUUUUAUCUUUAUACAUUAUAGUUAUACAUACUAUUAUAGUUAACUAACAUAAUUAUACCAACAAUAACAUGAUUUGCUCUUGUUCAGUCACCAGUACUUUUUCUUUUCCUCCACUAAUGUCUCCCCCUGUUCCUUUUCCUCUACUCUAAUAGUCUUCCUUUUGUUUAUUUAAAGUAUUUCAAAAUCAGUGCUUUAUAGAUACUCAUGAAGAUGAAAUUCAGUGCUAUAUUCGUACAUGUACAUUGAAUAGUUUUUUCAAUUCCAUUCCACCCUUCCUUUCUUUUACCAGCCCUCCUUCAUCACCCUCAAUCCCCUCCUCUGCAUAUCUCCUUUCUGUUUUUGUGAGACUUUCUCCCCCUCUUAUUUCCUGCAUUUUGGUUUAACUUCCACAUAUGAGAGAAAGCAAUCAAUAUUUGAGUUUCUGAUUCAGGCUUAUUUCACUUGCCAUGAUGUUCUGCACUUGCAUCCAUUUAUCAGCAAAGGCCAUAAUUUCAUUCUUCUUUAUCACUGAGAAAAAUUCAUUAUGUAUAUGAACCAUAUUUUAAAAAUCUAUUUAUCUUUUGACAAGAAACUGGGCUAGUUCCAUACAUUGGAUACUGCAAAUUGUGAGGUUUUAAACAUUGAUGUAGCAAUAUCUCUGUAGUAUGCUGAUUUUAGAUCUUUUGAAUAAAUAACAAUGAGUGGGAUAGCUGGUUCAUAAGGUGGUUAUAGUUUUAGUGUUUUGAGGAAUCUCCAUACUUCUUUCCAGAAUGGCUGUAGUAAUUCAUGGUAUCAACAACAGUGCAGUAAUGUAUGUUUUCCUCCACAGCCUCACCAGCAUUUAUUAUUGUUUGUAUUCUUGAAAAUAGCCAUUCUGACUGAAGUGAAAUAAAAUGUUAGUGUAGUUUUAAUUUGUAUUUUCCUUCUUGCUGGAGAUAUUGAAUAUUUCUUUUUUCAUUUAUUUGUUGGUUAUAUCUUCUUUUGAAAAGUAUCUGUGUAGUUCUUUUGCACAUUUACUAAUUAAAUUAUUCAUUUUGCUGAUGUUUUUUGAGUUUUUAUACUGGAUAUUAAUGCCCUAUCUGAGGAGCAUUUCACAAGGAUCUUCCCCAUUCUGCAAUCUCUUUUUGGAAAUAGAUACCUAGGUACCAUCUCUGUGACUGGGAAACGAUCUGUGGGCCCACAUGCAUCUAAGCCCUCAGUGUCCUUCAGACAGCUCCUGGAGAAUAAUGACAUCCCACAAUUUUAACAGUGCAGUCAUUGUCUAUGGGGAAGACAGAUUCCAGGGGCUUCCUUCCCAGUGUCUCCUCAGGAUUUUCUCCCUCUGAAGACUUUAGACACCAGGACUAGUCUUAAUUGUGUGGUGCUUGAGAAACUGAUGUGACUCCAUUUUUGAGAAACCAGCUUCUACCUCAAGGCCUGUCCAGAGGGAGCAGGCAUGACCCUUAUCUUUGGAAAAACCCAGAGAGCACUCCUAGGUACAUAGCCACCCUGUUGAGUUGUUUGUAAAUAACAGAAAGUAUAUGAACCACCAGGUGUCUCUGAGUCAGUUACACUAGGUGAGGACCCAUAGCAACCCCCUAAUAAACACCAAUCAGCAUGAGACAGGAAAAAUAUCUGAAAUUCGAGGUGACCCUCCCAGUAGUUUUUUUAUGAUUGAUGACAUGAUUAGGCAACCCUGCAGUUUAGCAUAUACACUUUUGCAACCCCUCAUGGCCUAAGCCAAACAGUUCAAAUGUACCCACCAUUUGAACUAACCCAUCACCCUUACUCAACUUGUUCACACUGGAGAAUGUGCUAAUCAAUGUUAAGAGUUGUUGUUUGAUUUUCCCACAGUGUGAAAUGAUUUGCUGUAUGAUGUUGUGAUGCAUAGAGUAUCCCCCCCCAAAACCUUUAAAUCUUCACUGAACUAAGGGUUAGGACUCACUCCUCGGGACUGCUGCAUUGGAAGUGGCUGUGAGUCCAGGUUCGAGCUGGCAAUAAAGACUCUUGUGUGAUUGCAUUGGAUUCAGCCCCUGGAGGUCUAUUGGGGUCCCACAAAUCUGGCAUUACAUGCUGAGAAAUUGUGAAGACUGAGUGAGUCAGCAGAGGAGGAAAGAGCAGGAGACUGGACAUGAAGUAGCUCAGAAGGAUAGUGGUGUUAGCCUUGGUGAGGCAGCGGCAAGGAGAUGGAAACAUAAAAUCAAUACCAAUACAUAUAACUAGGUAAUUGUGGAUGGCUUAUGGAUGUAAAAUUGCAUGUACUUAAAGUGUCUUUUUAUAAAACGACCCUCUCAGAAGUUUUAUAAUGUACAAAUAUUUUAACAGGACAGAAAUUAUUAACUAUAAGUGUGGAUACAUCCUAAAUUAUUCAUUAAAACUAGGAGCAUCUUAGUUGAAAUUCNCAGAAGUUUUAUAAUGUACAAAUAUUUUAACAGGACAGAAAUUAUUAACUAUAAUUGUGGAUACAUCCUAAAUUAUUCAUUAAAACUAGGAGCAUCUUAGUUGAAAUUCAUACCAACAUUUUAGGUAGAAGCCUAUGACCAACAAAGGGACAACUACAAAUUUACCCAGUAAAAACACCUGCAAGUAUCACCAAAACACCCUGAAGAAACUACACAUGGUGCUUACCAUGAGACUUUCAAGUAAAAAGAUGGUCACAUAUUGUAUUAAUUGUUUCUGUUGACAUAACCAUAGGCCUGGGGUUGGAGCUUGCUAAAGAAAAUCACUGAGGGCUUAAAACUUUUAAGGGUAAAUUUGACUGUUAAUAUUAAUGUCAAACAUUGUCAAUUCUUAUCAAAUUAGCUUCUAGCCAUCCCCACCCCACCCCCAAAGCAUAAAUGAUGUGCAUGGGCUUUUGUGGCAGCCCGCCCACACUUUGCAGAAUUCUUGGUGGGCUAUGAAAACUCUGUGUCACCUUGGACACUGAGUUCUCAUUGCUGAUUGCCCUGUUAGUCCUGAAGCUACUGAUACAGACCCACAGCCAAGGUCACACCCUUCCCAAGCUUUACAAGACAUGUCCUUGUGAUUUAAAACAUCAGUUUCUUUCUCUCUUACCUUUUCCUUGUUUCCUCACUUUCUCUGUCUUUUAGCAGUCAUCAAAAAUGAAAACAAAGCAAGUACCUCUGGGGAGAGGAAAGAAUAUUAUUUCUAGGACUGCCAUAUUAAUAUAUUAUAGGUCCAGUUUUCAGUCAAAAAAUUAAAAAAUAAACUGGGUGUGUGGUUAAUUCAAAGGCUGAAUAAAUAAUAAACCAACAGAAAACAUCCUUCAGGAAUGGCACUCCCCAGUCAACAAAUGUUCCUGCUGCAGCUCUAAAACAUGACAACAACCACAUGGUUGGUGUUUUAAAGGGGGGGUGUAGUUUGUAUGUGUCUUUUUAUGACUGAGUUAAGGCAGGUUAAGAUCUCUAAAAAUGUUCCAAGGGAAUGGUGGCUCUAACAGAGAAUUUUUUAUUGUCAUUAUACUCUGAGAGAAGGUUGUGGGCUGUUUUUAAAGAUAAUUCUCUUGAUGUAUGUGGACAUCUCAUGGGAGGAUGGAUGUGCUGUUUUUUUCUAUGGACUGUCUGUUAAAGACUGUUUAUGCUAAUGAAGAGUCUUGGAUAUCAUCAACUUUUAGAAAAUGUAUUUUAGUGCAGAGGGUAUUCAGACUCCAGCAAAAGAAGAGUAAUGCCCAACACAUCAAAGGUUUUGGAGAUCCAUGGAAAAUGCUGAGCUUGAGGAGUCCUAAGAUCUUCAGACUACAUGGAGAGCAGUCUUGAAACUCAGUUGUAAAGACUUCAAAAGGAAAGUGACAGAUGGUCUAACUAAGGGUUCUGUUAACCAUGCCAUGCUUUAUCUAUCAUAAAAAUUGACUGCCAGCAUCCUGGAUAAUUCUAAUGAAAAAAUUCUCAUGAUUUAAAGCUAAAGCCAAUUCUAAAUGUGUCCCAUUCUCCCCCCCACAUUUUUUUUUUACCAUGGAUUGAACCAAAUGACACUUAAACAUGGAACCACAUCUGCAGCCCUUUUUUUUAAUAUUUUAUUUAAAGACAGAGUCUUCAUGAGUUGCUUAGGACUUCAAUAAGUUGCUGAGGCUGGGUUUGAACUCAUGAUCCUCCUGCCUCAGCCUUCCAAGCCACUGGGAUGACAGGAAUGCACCACUAUGCCCAGCAAACUCUUCUCAUUCUAAUGAUCAUAUCAAGUUAUUGUGCCCUGAGCUAUAUCAUUGCCUCAUUCCCAAAUAGUGCUUGUUGCAAUGGUUAAAGCUCCAGGUUCUGUAUAUUCAUGUUGACAUCAGAACAGCUGUGCCCCAAAUCUUUACUGUUUAAAAAUACAGAAUAAGAAUGUAGAUCAUAAUGAAGGAACAGAUCAUGUGAGCAGGUUGAAAUCAGAAUUGAGGAGGGAAUGUGGAACUGGGGCCUCCUACUCUAGAGAGAAGAGUCUAUGCAUCUCACAUAAAUAUAGCAGAAAGGCUUAUGUAAGUAGCCUUUGUGUUCUAUGACAAAAUCCAGGAGACUGAGUACUUUACAGAAAGAAGAUCCUUAUUUCACAGUUUAGGGUCCUCACAGCAUGCCACCCAAAUUUGCUCAAUUCCUAUGUGGCCCUGUGCUGUGUCAUAAGGGGGUGGCUGGCAUCAUAGCAGAAAUGUGCGUGAGAAGUCACAUGGUGAGUUUGGAAGGCACAGAGCUGACUAGGAACUGUCCUGUCUUUUAGCACACCCCUAUCAUUAGAACCAGCUAGCAUCCUAAAGAACUUCCUUCAUCAUUUCAAUGGGCAAAAAUCCCCAGUGACCUGUCAACCUCCACCAGGCCUUACCUCAUAUGGGCCCCACCACCUGUUAAUAUUGCCACACUGGACACCUUGCUUCCAAUAGAAAAACCCUUGGGAGACAUAUCACAUCCAGUAGAAAGACAAUGCAUUUCUAUAAAAAGGGUCAGUACUUCCAAAAAUUCCAUGAAAAAGCAAAUGAAGGCAUAAGCAGCAGCAAACUCAACCCAGGAAAGACAGACUAAAAAUUCCUUUGAAGAAAAGAUAACUCAACAUCAACCUCAGCAUAGACUAAAUCUGUUUUAUACAAGUGUUUCUGAUAAACACUGCACACUGGAACUCAGGAGAACAAGGAAGUCACUAAUCUAGGGAGAGAAACAACAUUGUAGGUAAAUUCUGCAAACAGAGAAAUUUAUACCCAUGGAGAAACUCUUUUGUGACCACAGAGCUCAAUUGCACCUGGAAAAAGAUAUCAAAGUGCAUAAGUGUAUUCUAGUGUUAUGUAUAACUAAUUAAAAAAUUAAAAAUUAAAAAACAGGAAUAUGAGUGCUACUUCAAACAUGCCUUCUAUGAAAGAUUUCAAUCCCUACGUGUUCUUUAUUUCUACCCUCAUGCUGUCUAGGACUCCCUGGGCAUCUGGAGCUGCACAGAGCAGUGUUCAAACCAAGAUGAAGGAAAGAGGAAGAGAUGAAGUACCUUUAAAAAAGAGAAAGAAGGUUUUGUGUUACCAUAGUAUUUUCAAACUAUUCUGAUGGUGUGGCCUUCAGUUCAGUUUUUUCUAUAUUAGUCUAUUUUACAUCUGUUAAUCACUAGACUCAUUACAUUUAUUAAAUGUUCAUGUUAUUUGUACUUUGGGAACAGUCAAGGUGACACAUAACCUUUGAAAGACUGGCUUUCCCGAGGGCACCCAAUUUUUAGGAAUUGGCUCCACAUGGAAUCCAUAUAAAAAUUUACCUACCCAUGGCUGUAGAUAAAAACAUACCAAAUGGUAAAUACUUAGGGUGAACAUUUCAGAAAAUCUUGUACUUGAUAUGUAGACUAUGUUAGAGGUGCUGUAUUCCAGUUAGGAGUUUUGCUGCAUGAUUUGAUUAUGGCUGUUCUUGACAUGGGGGAAUAUAUGUGCUUAUGUAAGAUGAGAGAUAAGUGAGUUUGUUCUACUCUAGUGACCAUUUCACUCUAUAUCUAUGAUGUCAUUUAUCUACCUUAAUAUAUACAGUAAAAAUUAUUUUUCUUCAAAACUUUGGUAAAGUAAUUGAGUAGAUAUAUUUUCAAAAAAAGACAUAAAGUGGUCAGCAGAUAUAUUAAUUAUGCUUAUAGUGACUAACCAUCAGUAAAAAACAUAAGAUGAUAUUACUUCACAAUUGUUGGGAUGGUUAAAAAAAGACUAGAAAUAACAAGUGUUUGCAGAAAUAUGGAGCAAAGAUAACCUUGGGCAGAUUAUUUGGGUGAUUAUGCAAAUUGGCCCACUCACCUUGGAAAACUGUAUAAAAAUGCCUUGGAAAAUUGAGAGUAAAACAUACUUGUGACACUGAAAUCCAACUCCCUUGUGUGUAUCUAAAUGAAAACAAAUUGAAUCAGCCUCCUUAUAUCAGAGAAAACAUUCAGCAUUUUUUGGGGGGGAUUGGCUGGCUAACUUCACUCAGCAUUGUCUUCUCCAACUCCAUCCAUUUACCUGCAAAUGCCAUGAUUUUAUUCUCUUUUAUUGCUGAAUAAAAUUCCAUUGUGUAUAUGUGCCAUAGUGGAGUAGGGAGGGGA